rnacentral:misc_RNA from 1 species
UUUCCGUAGGUGAACCUGCGGAAGGAUCAUUACCGAAUCGUCAAACGGGUUGUUGCUGGUCCUCAAACGGGGACAUGCGCACGCUCUGUUUACACAUCCACUCACACCUGUGCACCCUCCGUAGUUCUAUGGUCUGGGGGACCCCGUCUUCCUGCCGUGGUUCUGCGUCUUUACACACACGCUGUAACAAAGUCUUAUGGAAUGUAUGCCGCGUCUAACGCAAUACAAUACAACUUUCAGCAACGGAUCUCUUGGCUCUC